rnacentral:misc_RNA from 1 species
CCAGACGUGCAAGUGGCGUUACCUACGCGCCGGGGUGAAACUUGCAAGCUCCCCUUAUCGAGCUUUCAGAUGGCUGUGCCUUUCAGAUUUUGACGUUUCCGUUCAUCUUUCUCCUCUCGUACCCCCCUUUCUCCUCCCCUAUUUUUUUACACGGUUCCUCGUACAUUUCAGUAAGUCAAUCUCGUCGGCAGAGAAUCAUCCCCCGACAUGCCACGAAAAAUCGGAUUCAACGUCGUGUACGCAACCAGCGAGGAGGACAGGCACUCUUCGUUGGAGCUAAACAUACAUGGACCGACGGUAAGGGGUUGGCAAAGUUCGCGAAGAUGUACAUAUCCUCAAGAACUCAUUCUUCGUCUUCACGGGCCGACGAAGCUCACAAGGAUACAAGUCUUAGCUCAUCAAUAUCUAAUUCCCGAGAAGCUAGAAAUUUGGACGUCGAAGGAGGAAAAUGCGUCCGUCACGACGGAGUUCAGUUAUUUGGGUUACAUCACGUUGUCGGACAAUGCCUCGACCAUGUACAAAAGCAGAGAGUUGAAAAGCGUCGCCCUUCCGGAGACAGAAGCUGUCUCGUUGAAAUUGAGACUGCACAAACCGCACAGUAACGCGCACAAUGUUUAUCAACAGGUCGGUCUUAUCGCUAUCAAUAUUCUUGGUGAACCUUAUGGACAAGAGCUGACUGGUCAAGGGGAUGCACCGUACAAUCCCCAUUACACGUCUCCAUAUGACGACCUGGCAUUCGAGAUGUACGUUGAUCGUGACGUCGCGAAGAUCAUAAGGCAGAUGGAGGCGAAGAAACUGCAGGCUGUGGAAGAGGAGAGGUUCGAGUACGCUUCCAAGUUGAAGGUGGCGAUGGAGAAUCUCAGGAAAGCGGGUGAACGUCUCGGAAAGUAUGAAUUGGAGAAAAAAUAUGCUAUAGCUCUGGAAGAUUACGAUAAGGCCAAGGCGAAGAAGGCUCAAGCGCAACAAUAUAGGCAGCAGGUGUACCAAAGCUUGGAGGUGCAAGAUCUACUUGAACUUCACGGGCCACUGGAGAAAAAUAAUAUGUCAUCCAUGGAAGGAAAGGAACCCAUCUCGGUGGACACGUGUAGCUCCAACGCGACGGCUGCUCCUGAAGAUAUCACAUCUCCCCCGAGAUUGGUGAUCCCUCCGAACCGCGAUGGAGCUAUAUCGCCAACAGGUCCUGCACAUCAACCACCUGUUUCGCCUUUGCAUCAGAAACCAAAUAGUCCUGAAGUGACCGAUAGCCCCACGAACGGUGUCAUAGAAAGGCAGAAUAACUGCAACAAAGGAUCUCUUAGAAGGAAAACGAAAUCCGCAGGACCGGCGCUUCGAUCCAGUUACGAGGCUUACGAGGAGAGGACGAUACCCGCUUUGAGACACUCGCACACGAACGAGUUUACCAGAGAGUGUCACAUGGAUAAUUCGGAAACGAAGGCGAUAUCGAAACUGAACGACAGGGAGAAGAAGCAAGCUGCCUUACCUAUAGCCGUUUUUGGAAUGGAAAUGGUGGAGAAAUUCUACUCGAAACAGUUCACGGACAAGGAGGAAGGUUUGAUGCAGUUGAAGGAAGAGUUGAAGACGUUCGAUCCGGAAGUCUCGAAGCACUCCGCGAAUAAAACGGCGAGAGCAGCCAUUUUGUUGUUGCACAGAGCUCUCAGAGACAAAGUUUUCAGUGUCUACAGCCUGGCAGCGCAGUUGAUCAGGAUUUUCUUCGCGGAAUUCGCGACGGAUAGAGUAUCGUCAACGGAAAUUGCGAGGAGCGUAGAAAGAUUACUACCGGAAUUAUUAACAAAGUCAGGCGAUACCACCCCGAGAAUUCAUAAUAUGGCAGUGCACACGAUACUGAGUAUGGCGGAUUGUAAAUGCGUGAGAGAGUUGCACAUCAUACCGGUGCAUCUGACACGACCCGUUAGCAGUAGUACGCAUCAAAGACUGGCCCUCAGUAGGCUAGAAAUGGUGGAGCAAUUAAUUUUGAACCACGGGAUUUCUACUGAUAAACAAAGUGGACUCACGUGUCGAACGUUGUCAGAGCUGGGUUCUUCGGGGUUGCACCAUCCAGCGGAAGCGGUGAGGAAAGUUUCAGAAAGGAUUUUAGUACUUGUGUACAAAGUGAACCCUAGGUUGGUUCGCAAGCAGCUACCUCCUGACGACGAUAUUACUAGGAGGAACUUAUUAUACCGUCAAUUGUUUCAUGAAUUCGAUCUCAUUGAUCUGCAGAGGAAAAAGGAAGCGGAAGCCAGUCACAAAACAACGACACCUACACGGACAAAAUCGACGGAAAAUAAUGUAGCGAACUUGACGAAAUCUCCUUCGCGAACUAGUCCUGUCGUUAGCACCGGAAGUUCAACAAGUAUAACAUCUCCGUCCGAGAAUAGUACAGAGCACAAGGGUGAUAAAAUAUGCAUAUUCUGUCUCUCCAAGGGGCAAGGAUAUUCCGAGGAGGGAUUAAAUAUUCAUUAUUGGAAAAGUUGUCCGAUGCUAACGAAGUGCGAGGCGUGCAAGCAAGUGGUAGAAAUUUCGUAUUUGAAUUUACACUUAUUAAACGAAUGUGAUAUGCGAAGCAAUUACGUCAAAUGUGACACGUGCAAACUAGCGAUUAACGAGCAUUCCUUCGAGGAGCAUAGGAAAGACAACAAGUGUACAAAACCCAUCGAGGGCUACGACCGCUGUCCACUCUGUUCGACUCUUGUAAAUCAGAACAAAUGGAAGGAACAUCUCAUGGGUGAUCAUCCUUGUACGAACAAUCCACGAAACAAACUAGGAAAAACCUGUGGAAGGCUAAGGAGAUCCCGCGGAAGCACGGGAGAGAAAUGGAUCGAAUUGACAAAGAGGCACGUGCGAAGAGAAAGAAAGCCCCGGGGACGUUGGUAGGUGGGAGUCGGAGCAGGGUGAUGUUGGCGGGGGUGGAAACGAUGGCCCGUACGCUGCAACCCCUCAGUAACGCGCAAGCCCCUGUCGAAGAGGUAGCUUCGUUCGUGCUUUAUUCGGAUCGCGAACAGUUUUCCUUCCACAAAUCACGUCCGCCGAUUACACCGUCGACCUCCUCGUCGAGGACAGCGUAAUUCUCUCAUGGAACUAUUUGCUUCCACCGCGAAACCGUCGAAGAAACAAAACAACGCGGCGAUCCUCCUCGCACGAUCAACAGGUUAAUUCUUCGACGAGUCUGGUUUACGGACGUAUCGAUCGACUCGAAGAUCCUCGAAAACAACAAGUGUACCGUUACCUUCAUCUCGAAUCAGAGGCAGAAAAUGC